UUGCACGCUGGCGGCAUGCUUUACACAUGCAAGUCGCACGGUAACAGGCCUUCGGGUGCUGACGAGUGGCGAACGGGUGAGUAAUGCAUCGGAACGUACCCAGAGGUGGGGGAUAACGCAGCGAAAGCUGUGCUAAUACCGCAUGUGAUCUGAGGAUGAAAGCGGGGGACCGAGCAGCAAUGUUUGGCCUCGCGCCUUUGGAGCGGCCGAUGUCGGAUUAGCUAGUUGGUGGGGUAAAGGCCUACCAAGGCGACGAUCCGUAGCUGGUCUGAGAGGACGACCAGCCACACUGGGACUGAGACACGGCCCAGACUCCUACGGGAGGCAGCAGUGGGGAAUUUUGGACAAUGGGCGCGAGCCUGAUCCAGCAAUGCCGCGUGCGGGAAGAAGGCCUUCGGGUUGUAAACCGCUUUUGGCAGGAACGAAACGGUGUCCGCUAAUACCGGGCGCUAAUGACGGUACCUGCAGAAUAAGCACCGGCUAACUACGUG
rnacentral:rRNA from 1 species